rnacentral:ncRNA from 1 species
CUUAUCAAGAGAGGUGGAGGGAACGGCCCUGUGAAGCCCGGCAACCUGCGUUUGCAAGGUGCCAAAUCCGGCGGUGACGAAAGAUGAG